AAUUUGAGGGGUGGUGAAUCUGUGGAGAAAAGGGAGGGGGAGGAGGAAGGUAUCUGGAAGGUGUUCAUUCUUAGCUUGGUAUGUGUUCCUUUCUAGAUUUGUAAUAAAUAAAGUGUUGUGUUUUUCCCUCCAUCCCCGAAUGGGAGCCUGCUUUGUUCUGUUCCUGGGUCACAUCUCACAGCAACCAUUUUGGAAAUAUACCCUUCAUGGGGGCCCUGGCAUUGUGCCAGGGCCAAACCAUGACAGUUACAUACAUUAUGCUCUGACUCAGCAACAGUCAUAUUACACUGAGUCUGUCAGGUCAAGUUGGCAUCACUUCCAGUCUCUGUUCCUGUUGACUUCUGUAUAUUCAGGAACACAAGGGACCAGGAUGGAAGAAAAAGUAGAGUAGAUAACAGGAUCCUACUAUUUGUGAUUUAAAGCUACAUUUCUGUUUCAGGGGUUAAAGCAGACCAGUUAUAAUUUUUGCCAGAACAGGAUUAAUAGCUUGAGUUCACACAUCCAGCAUGGGGUUGCUUUUGUCAUCACAGAACAACACAUGAGAGGUUGUCACUCUUCAGACUCUUCAGACUCUUUAGACAUACUGUGAAGAAGUGC